GAUGAACGCUGGCGGCGUGCCUAAUACAUGCAAGUCGAGCGAACGGACGAGAAGCUUGCUUCUUUGAUGUUAGCGGCGGACGGGUGAGUAACAUGUGGAUAACCUACUUAUCAGACUGGGAUAACUUCGGGAAACCGUAGCUUAUACCGGAUAAUAUUUUGAACCGUAUGGUUCAAAAGUGAAAGACGGUCUUGCUGUCACUCAUAGAUGGACCCGCGCUGCAUUAGCUAGUUGGUAAGGUAACGGCUUACCAAGGCAACGACGCAUAGCCGACCUGAGAGGGUGAUCGGCGACACGGGAGCUGGGACGCGGACCAGACUCCUGCGGGAGGCAGCAGUAGGGAAUCUGCGGCAAUGGGCGAGAGCCUGACGGAGCAACGCCGCGUGAGUGAUGGAGGUCUUCGGAUCGUAAAACUCUGUUAUGAGGGGAGAACAUAUGUGUAAGGAGCUGUGCACAUAGUGACGGUACCUAAUCAAGAAGCCACGGCUAACUACGUG
rnacentral:rRNA from 1 species